rnacentral:rRNA from 1 species
GACGAACGCUGGCGGCGCGCUUAACACAUGCAAGUCGAGCGAAGCGGCGGACGGGUGAGUAACACGUGAGUAACCUGCCUUAGACAUUGGGAUAGCCUCGGGAAACCGGGAUUAAUACCAAAUGGUCUAAGAUGGACUCGAGUCCAAUUAGCUAGUUGGUGAGGUAACGGCCCACCAAGGCGACGAUGGGUAGCCGGCCGGAGAGGGUGAACCGAGACAUUGGAAGUGAGAAGCGGUUCAAACUAUACGGGAGGCAGGAGAGGGGAAUAUUGCACAAUGGAGGGAACUCUGAUGCCGCGAGGGCGCGUGAGCGAAGAAGGCUUUCGAGUCGGAGAGUUCUUUUAUAUGGGAAGCGGUACCAUAAGAAAAAGCCCCGGCUAACUACGUGCCAGCAGCCGCGGUAAUUC